rnacentral:rRNA from 1 species
CUCCUAAGGCUAAAUACUCUCUAGUGACCGAUAGUGAACCAGUACCGUGAGGGAAAGGUGAAAAGCACCCCGGAAGGGGAGUGAAAUAGAACCUGAAACCGUGUGCUUACAAGUAGUCAGAGCCCGUUAAUGGGUGAUGGCGUGCCUUUUGUAGAAUGAACCGGCGAGUUACGAUUUGAUGCAAGGUUAAGCAGUAAAUGUGGAGCCGUAGCGAAAGCGAGUCUGAAUAGGGCGUUUAGUAUUUGGUCGUAGACCCGAAACCAGGUGAUCUACCCUUGGUCAGGUUGAAGUUCAGGUAACACUGAAUGGAGGACCGAACCGACUUACGUUGAAAAGUGAGCGGAUGAACUGAGGGUAGCGGAGAAAUUCCAAUCGAACCUGGAGAUAGCUGGUUCUCUCCGAAAUAGCUUUAGGGCUAGCCUCAAGUGAUGAUUAUUGGAGGUAGAGCACUGUUUGGACGAGGGGCCCCUCUCGGGUUACCGAAUUCAGACAAACUCCGAAUGCCAAUUAAUUUAACUUGGGAGUCAGAACAUGGGUGAUAAGGUCCGUGUUCGAAAGGGAAACAGCCCAGACCACCAGCUAAGGUCCCAAAAUAUAUGUUAAGUGGAAAAGGAUGUGGCGUUGCCCAGACAACUAGGAUGUUGGCUUAGAAGCAGCCAUCAUUUAAAGAGUGCGUAAUAGCUCACUAGUCGAGUGACACU